UGGGGAAUAUUGCACAAUGGGCGCAAGCCUGAUGCAGCCAUGCCGCGUGUAUGAAGAAGGCCUUCGGGUUGUAAAGUACUUUCAGCGGGGCGGAAGGCGAUAAGGUUAAUAACCUUGUCGAUUGACGUUACCCGCAGAAGAAGCACCGGCUAACUCCGUGCCAGCAGCCGCGGUAAUACGGAGGGUGCAAGCGUUAAUCGGAAUUACUGGGCGUAAAGCGCACGCAGGCGGUCUGUCAAGUCGGAUGUGAAAUCCCCGGGCUCAACCUGGGAACUGCAUUCGAAACUGGCAGGCUAGAGUCUUGUAGAGGGGGGUAGAAUUCCAGGUGUAGCGGUGAAAUGCGUAGAGAUCUGGAGGAAUACCGGUGGCGAAGGCGGCCCCCUGGACAAAGACUGACGCUCAGGUGCGAAAGCGUGGGGAGCAAACA
rnacentral:rRNA from 1 species